UGUGAGCACCUGAGGCUGCAGACUGGCCCCACAGGGAAGGACGGCUGGUGCUGUGGGGCGCUGGGAGUCGUGGCAGUGCCUGCAGGGGGUGGAGACAAGGCAGCAGGCCCCCCAUUAGCACCAUGCUUCUGGGGAUCCUCGUGGUGCUCUGCUUCAUCCCCACUGCUGAUGUAACAGAAAACAAGAUUUUAGUGGCUCAGCAUCCUUUGCUCAUUGUAGCUAACCGAACUGCAACUCUAGUUUGCAACUACACAUACAAUGGAACAGGGAAAGAAUUUCGAGCUUCGCUACACAAAGGAACGGACAGUUCAGUUGAAGUUUGCUUUAUCUCAUGGAACACAACCAAAAUUAGCAGCAAUUCAAAUAAAGAAUUCAACUGCCAGGGGUAUCAUGAUAAAGAUAAAGUCAUCUUCAGUCUUUGGAACAUGAAUGCCAACCAAACUGACAUCUACUUCUGCAAAAUUGAGGUCAUGUAUCCACCCCCAUAUGUCUACAAUGAGAAGAGCAACGGGACUGUCAUUCAUGUGAAAGAGACACCCACCCAAAUACAAGAGCCUCAGUCUGCAAUUCCUUUGUGGAUUCUGGCAACAGUGACUGGAAUUCUUGCACUCUACAGUAUGCUAAUAACUGCAGUGUUUAUUAACUACUGGCAAAAAUUCAAAAACAAUAUGUACCAUCAGAGUGACUACAUGAACAUGAUUCCCCGGCACCCACCAUACCAGAAGAACAAGGGUUACCCAUCCUAUGCCCCAACACGAGACUACACCGCGUACCGGUCCUGGCAGCCCUGAUCCCACCAGGAGCCUCGUGUGUUUCUGGGCAGUCACUUCCUCUGGGGCAUGGAAGGACAGCCUCUCAUUUUCUCGUGUUUGUUUCUGUUGACCACGGACACGUACAUCAUAGCAAGUAUUAACUAGACUUUGAUCUGCUAAAAGAAAAUCCAGACCAACAAACCAAUAUAAAAAGGGGGAGUAGUAAAAAAACAAAAAAUUUUCUCCAUGAUGGCUGAAAAUGAGGCCCAGCUUGUGUUGAGGGUUGUCAGUGGAUGAAAAGAUAGCAUCAGACGUCAGAGCUGGUUUCUUCCUAACACUUGUGGUUUUGCUCAGCUGUUGGAAGAAGCAGAACUUCUGAUAUUUUCCAAUAACUGCUGCCUUGGAUUUAACCCUUAAUUUCCUUCUCUGUACGUGUAGUCUUCAGAGAGUUGCUGUUAAACCUGGCAAAAUGUAAAAAAUAAUCUUUUUUUCUCUAUAAGACAAAGACACAGUUUGAAGUUCAAAAUACGUACUUAAAGAAGAAAAGGUGAGUCAGAAGGCAUCCAAGCUAUUAUGCUAUGAAACAAUUGAUCUGCCAGGACAAAUCAAGCUAAGAGAAAACUAGUAAACCUUUAACAUGUGAGUCCUUAGGCUGGACACUGUAAAAGUUCAUAAGGCCAUCUGCAGUCAUGACCAAGCAACUCCACAGACUGAAAAAGCAAGCAACCUGAAGACAAAAUCAAGACAAGUGGGAGAAGAAGAAAAAUUUGUCUUCAUCAUGAGCAAUCCCAUUUCUUUUUUGUUUGCCUCCUGCAUCAAGGGAAUGCAAAGUCAUACAUAAAGCAUUAGGAGAGAGAGAGCUCAGAUUUUGAGAAGAUUUUUACUUUUAUUUUUGAAUUUGAGAAUUCAAAAGGUAUUCUCCUAAGUCCUCCUGAAAAUUCAUGCAUAUCUCCUGGCCCAUAGGUUGUACCACAGCUCUUUCAAAAAUCUGGUUCAACUUAUAAGCAACUGAACAGCACUUCAUUUUUUUUCCCAUAAGUGUCCAGUUUUUGGGGUGUGAGAGGAUUCUUCAUUCUCAGCAUUGUAAAUUGGACCCGCAAGUUCUCAGACAUCUGCAGGAUCUGCUCUGAGCACUUUGAGGAACUUUGUGCUAUCUGGAAGUUACUUUUCUCUCUAAAGAUGUUCUUCAGGGCUGCUCCAUGCCAGAGUAGGACGAAGUCUUUAGCAAAACAUGAUCCAUUCUUUCAAUCUAGUGAAUUUACAAUAACAGGACAUCCUAAAUUGUAAUUGGGGUUCCCUUGGCAUAAAAUCCCUUUUCAUACUGAGGAGACAAUGUUUAUUCUAUAAAGACUACUGAAUAAACAAAAGAAAAAAGCAACGCAUUCCCACCUUGAAAUAAAAUUUGGAUGGUACAACAUUUAAUUUCUUUCAAAUUGGAUAAGAAGAUUCUUUCUCUCUUUGAGGAGACAAGACAAAAGUAGAGAUGUGGAAGCAUGACAACAAUCUGCUUUGAUGUCUUAACCCAAGAAAACAACUUUGGUACUUCCAAAUUGGAAGUUUUAUUUGAGUUUGCUGACCGGGCCACGAAUCUUCCACUCUGAGUCUUCUAUCACCACGAACCAUGUUCCUGGAGGGUGCUGUACCACCUCUGAGAAGCAGUGAGGUGCUCCCUGCCCCAGCCAGGGACAGCAGAGCCCCAAUGGCAAUGUGUCAAAUGAACAUCAGAUCUGCAGUCAUCACAUCUGAACAGCAAUCAACAUAUGUUGCAAGGGGUCAACCAAGGGUUGUGCAGCUCCUGUAUGCUGAUUCCUGUUCUGCACGUCUCCAGCACAGCACAAUACAACAGCCUGGCUAUUCUUUGCUUCCAGGAACCAAAGCCCUAGAAGACAAAUGCCGAGGAGGUAGCCUGUGUUAUCUCUGCAGUGUCUUGAACCUUCCCCAUUGGGGUGGUCAGGCUUACUAAAGCCAAAAGUCUUGGACAUUCCUUCAAGUCUGAAUAUUCCAAAUUCUAAUAUCAUCCUCCUGUAUAACAUUUUUUCCAAAACGCCUCUUUUUUCUUCUGUAGCUAAAAAUGUGAACCCUGCAUCUCUGCCAAACAAUAUCAUAUCUUCCUUCUUUGUGCAUCAUCUUUUCCCUUUUGUUUCUAUUCCAGACUCAGCAGUUCAGGAACCCAUCCUAUUUGUUAACCUCUAACACCAUUGUGCAGCCUUCCACAUGUACUCCUGUCUGACUGGUUACUUGACUCACAAAGACCAUCUUGUAUGCCACAUUCCUCCUCAGCUAGGGAUAUGGAGUUGCCAUAGGAGACUGAAGCCAUGGGGUGAUUGGAUGGGUACAUAUUUUCUCUUUGAAGGAUUUGGGGGUGUUUCAUACCUUUGAUUUUUCCCAUUUUUCAAAUUUUCAGUUGUGCCAAAAAGCCACGUGGGGGUCCCACAGACCACAUGCUUCCCACAGUGCAUUUAAUUUCUGUACAUUUCAUUUCCUGUGCAAAGCAGGUUCUAGGCUAUUGCCAAGUUCAUUAUGCAUGCAGACAUGCUCUGACAGCAGAAGCAACUUUGGCUACUGAUGGUAUGUUUGACUAAUAAAAACACGGUACAAAAAUAUUGAGUUUGAAGAGCACACAGGCAAAGUCCUCAGUGCUAAAGAUCAAAUCUUUCCACUUUCAGCAAGGGUUUUGCUGUGUGACUGGAAAAUGUGUUGUACAAGAUGAAUCACAGGCUAAGACAUCAUUUCGUUAGUCACUCAUACUAACCAGAAAACAGGUUAGGGUGAUUAGAACGGGACUAGCAUUGUUAAGGUCCAGUAAAGACUGGUAAAGGCUGAAAACAGCACUAGGUUGUUUUGUAGCCAAAGUCAGUGUCUUUAAGUGGCUGUGAGAGGGAAACUAGCUGCUUAAGUUGAUGCAAAUGGACUGUUCUUCACAAUUAGGUGUAUUUGUUAGAGCAUCAUGUUACAAUAUGUUACAAUUCCAGCCUCAAGGGCAUGCAGAUAGAAUGAUGUGGCAAAUUUGGCUGAAAAAAGUAUUAGGAGGCUGCCAAUUCCAUAUUAACCCAUUUGCAAAGAAACAAAAAGUUGAAUGAUCUCAAAUUCAUGGUGGGUUUUUUGUUUGUUUUUUUUCUUUUUUCUUUUUCUUGCUGGAUCUUCAGGAUCAAGGCACUGGUUCUUAUUUCCUGCUCCUCUUGCUGUUGUUUUAUUAAGAAUUAAAUAUAACUUUAGAUUACAUAAACUUACCAGGAGCUCUUCAGUUUCAUUCAUCUGACCAUUGAAAUUAUGAGGAGUUUUCAAAUGCCACAGUUUUCAUAGCCAUUGUAUCAUUAUCUGGCUACAUCAUUCCUUUUCCUCAUUGUCUUCUUAUUCCUUCAAGGGAACUAUUCUGGAUUGAUUGAAAUGUUCUCAUGUGUUGAAACAAAUCUGGUUUUUCAAACAGGAAAGAUUACUACCUAACCAGCAAAAUCAAAGAUGCAAGCAAGCAAUUCGUAAGAGUUCUGUGGAAAUUAACGUAGUGGUUUCAAUCUGAUAGGAGGAUCAAAUAGCCUUUUUAUAAUAUCCUCCUCUAAAAUAAAGAAGCUUAAGAAAUCAUAUACUAAAAUACCUUAAAAGACAAGAGAUCAGGCUGCGAAAUUAAGAAAUCAAAGGCGGGAAAUGCCAGAAGGAAGCUUUCCUAUCCAGCCUCCCUUCUGCCCCGCUGUGUGACCGGAGUGACUCUUUAACUAGCAUUUCCCCCUGCUAAGCCGAGCCCAGGCUGAGCGGGGCGGUCCCGCUGUCUCGCAGCGCUGCAGGAAAGCUCCGGCUGGGGCCGGAGCAGGCGCGCAGCGAGUGACAGAUUCCGACAGCAGCUCAAGUUGUUGUCAUGGAGGGCUGCAGCAGGGCACAACUAGCAAUCAGGCUAGCUUAGAUAAUAGCUAAAUUAGUGCCCGACAGCCUCGUCAGUGCCCCACUAAAUUAGAUCACUGUCGUGAGUCAGAACGAACGAUUUUUUCUGCUAUGCUCGCUGCCUGUGACAGCCCUUGGGCUACUUUAAUCUUCAAACACCAGUGGUCAAGAUGAGAGCUGAUUUAUUUUUUUCCCUCAUGAAAAUGAUUAAGUAGAUUACUCACAUUUCUUCCUGGGUUUCUUAGCCUUCCACAGACAAAUCAAAACUGGCUGCAGAACAAAAAUUUUUUCUCUGUUGGCAUAGCUCAUCAGCUCCUGAUACUUACGGACAGAGGCUGAAGUCCAGGGUGGAAUGACACCUUCGAGAGCAUUAUGCCCUCCUUGUAGCUCUUUCUCUCAUUAGCUGAUUGUUGAAAUAAUGCCAAUGUUUUAUCUUAACAACAAAAAAGUAUGAGACUAUGAAGAUACAGAAUUGGACAGCAGGGGAAUAACCUCUGUCCCUCCUGCAGACACACAGUUGAUGCUGCUUUCAAGUCCAGCCCUGUGACGGAGCAAUUCAUCAGUAAGGAUGGGAGAAGCAAAAGGGGUUAAAGGAGAAAUCACUCUGAAACCUCUUCAGUGAAAUUCUGGAACAAUCCCUCAGGGAAUGGAAAUGAACAAGCCAGCUGUAGGAUGUACUUCACAACUCACACUUUUGCCUCUCCCUAGCCAUACACUAGAAAUAACUCUUAAAACACCCUAGUCCUUCUUGCCUCAAGAACUACUUUUUACUGUUUGGCCACUCUGCAUUAUUGAGACAUAAACUGCAUUGAUGGUGAAAGCCAGGUUAGUUCCUGUGUGUGGACUUAGGUGCACAGUCAACUCCCAAGAAACUCUUGAGAUGAAAGCACAAAAUAUGUUCAAAGGGCAAUGGGCAAGCAAACUGGCUGGAAAAGUAGGAUAGAUGAAUGGCUGUCUGCAGGAAAAGUGAAGUUAAGCAACUCCAGAGCUUUCCUCCAGCAACUAGAGAAACACAUUAGUUUGAGCUGCAGCUGCAGUGGAUUUCCUCCAGUAAAAGCAGCUCUUGGAAUGAUGAAGUGAUUAUUUCAGGACAUUUAAUUAAAAAUAACCAUAUUAGGCAAAAAAGAUUUUGAAAUACCCUUAUUUCUGCUUUUUCUGUGCUAAAUGAUUACUUACUUACAAAUACUACACUUAACCUGCAGUAUGAGCUUUUUAAAAUUAGUGUUCCUUUGUUGUCCCUUUUUUUAAAUUUUUUUUUUAGUUAAAAUUUGUAUUAAGGUGUUUAUAUUGUAGUUCUGCAAUCUUAUUUCAAACCACUGAGGCAGAGGCAAAAUGAGGACUGGGAUAUAGGCAGGGGACAAAUAGACCGCAGCUCAGUCCAGUCCCAGCAUGGCAGUUCCCACAUACUGUAAAAAGACUUCAGGUACAAAGUGGAGUUCAAAGAGUCCACAGAUUACAAGAGCAACCUGGUGAAGAAAUGUCAGUUAGAAAUGAGCAGCAGAAACCAGCUCUAUUUUCCUACUGCUGUGGCUUUGCUUGGUGACGAUGACAUACAAAGAUUAAGCCUUACUGCAUGAGUUCCAGUGGUUUAUCUCCUGUUUUAUCAUCGCCAGUAAGUGAAGGAGAUGUGUGGGUGUCACCUGCAAAAAAAAAAGAGGUUGCAUUUCUGAGAGAAAAACAUCUGCAGAUCCAAAAAGGCAAAUGGUCUUGUUUAAUUCAUGCAUAUCCAGUUUCCUUCCUGUCACUAAUCUGCAGCAAUGAAUUUAGUCUCCAGGAUUUCCUUAGCUUUAUUAUGCUGAGAGAGAGUGCAAGAGAGAGUGAGACAGAAAGACUUGAGCAAUAUUAAGCGCCCGGAAUGACUUCAAUCACUGAGGUCAUUUGUUAAUCACUAAGAUAGCCUGGCUCCCAGGGCAUGGAGUUUGAUUUUCCCUCCCCGCCCCUCCAAUCUGCUGAACUAUGGAGAUUUGCAACAAGAAAAGCUAUCUGCUGUGCAAUCAAUUUACAGAAUAACAUUUUGUUUGGUCUGCUAUUGAUGGAAGCUAGCAGAAACUGGAAGCCCUGGGUUCAUGACACAAGUGUUAGAAUCCAUGUAGAUGUGGUUUUUCUGCCCUUGCAAGUUUAUGUCUGUGACAGAAUGAACCUCUGCACACAGUUAAACACUGCUUGCUGCAUACAUUGCACAGAAAUCACUACUUUAAAAAGAGAUUUAAAACAAAGGCAUCUCCUACAUUGGAUACGGAGGGAAACUACACAUAUGGACAUGUAAACAACUGUACAAACACAGAUGCAAGCUUUGGUCUUUCCUCUCCAUUAUUAUGUAUGUAUGUAAAUAUAAAAUUAAAAAAAACAAGCCAGUGAGCAUAUGUCUUGGAUUGCACAUCAAGCACAGUAUGCUCACUGCAUCUAAGGUAUCUCUAGAUUAAUAAUGUUUCACUUGGCUGUGUGCUGACUUGUCUGGAUCAACUUACUAGCCACUGAGAUAUAAGAAGUAUCAGAAAAAUUAUAAAUUCAGACUAUCUGUAUUUAGAAGUAAGACUUUCCUACACCUCCAAAUUUGCUGUAAUUUGCUUUAGCUCUGGACUGGAGAGAUAUUCAUAAGACUUUUAUCACUAAGCCCAAUGAGAGCACUGAUAAACAUCCCUUUUGAUGGCAGAUCAGAGAGUGGGUUCCCUGUGGCUCUCGUACAGCUAUUCUAAUUGUCAAAAGUGCAUGUUGUACUCUUCUUGUGCCCCAGCUACAGCUCAGGAAAACCAAGGUCUUGACUAACCCUUCUUGCCCAAAUCCAAAAUACAACAUUCACCUUCCCCACUAAAUAGACCUUUUUAUAAAAAUUAAACUCACUUGUUCUCGAUAGCUGCCAUAAUGAAUGCUUGGUCAAUAAAGAUUAACUCCUUGUUCUUGCAAACAACAAGUUCUUGUGCCUGUUUACCGAUGGAAGGAAUCCAAUUGAUGUAUCAUUAGUUGUGUGAGGAAGUUGCACAUCUGUACAACUUGGUGUGGGAGUGUCUUCUUCCUUCAUAUAAAUGGUGGGUUACAAUGUGGGUCAACAAACUAAUGUUUAGCACUUUUGACUACUGAAGAGCAGAAGAAAAGAUCAGAACCAAAAAUCUGUGAAAUCUGAGGCACCAAUCAAUUCAGUGCUGCCUCUGUUGAAUGACACGAGCACUAGCAGCUGAGUAGCACUCUCAGAUCCCUUAGGAUUGAGUUCAUGCUGUAAUCUCUCCAAGUUUAGCAUUUCAUAUGCGUAUAGAUUGCAAAGGCACAGGAAAAUCCUAAAGGAUCCAAGACAGUGGGAAAAUACAGAGAAACAAAGGGUUUUACUUGCUAAAGGCAAACUGGUUUUGUGCUGACAACAGGAAACAAGAGACAGUGCAAAGGAUGUUGUGGCCGUUGGAAGGGCCGCCACUGUAGCUACUGUGCGUACCUGGGUGACUCAUCAUCACGGUGACACUGGCUUGCACUCUAAAGUCCCUCCUCUCCCAGCUGCAGCCAGCUGGCUCAUCCUGCCUGGCCUCUCCAUGUUUCAUCUCUGCUAGGUUAUCAUCUGGAAAGCACUUGGGCUGGCACUAGGUUGGACUAGAUACUGGAGUUGUGAAUAUACAUGUGACACAUGCAGGAGUGACACACCAGUCCUUGCUUGAGGAGACGAGAAAUGGAAAAAGAAAGUGAAGGAGGAAGCAGAGGUGUGGUGCUUAUGCACAUGUACAUAAUUCAGCAGUUGUGAGGACAGAAAGUACAACUGCAACGUUUCUCACACUGCUUGUAAACUCCACCCACUGCACCCACCAUGGGUACAAGUGCAUCUUGUGGGGGACUCACUGCUCCACAGGAACUAGAGGGGCUAAUUAUUUCAUCACUCAUAAAGCUUCAGGAUUGGGAUUUUUUUUGUAAUGA